GAUUGAAGAACGCAGCGAAAUGCGAUAAGUAAUGUGAAUUGCAGAAUUCAGUGAAUCAUCGAAUCUUUGAACGCACAUUGCGCCCGCCAGUAUUCUGGCGGGCAUGCCUGUUCGAGCGUCAUUUCAACCCUCAGGCCCCCAGUGCCUGGUGUUGGGGAUCGGCCCAGCCUUCCUGUAAGGCCGCCGGCCCCGAAAUCUAGUGGCGGUCUCGCUGUAGUCCUCCUCUGCGUAGUAGCACAGCCUCGCAGUUGGAACGCGGCGGUGGCCAUGCCGUUAAACACCCCACUUCUGAAAGUUGACCUCGGAUCAGGUAGGAAUACCCGCUGAACUUAAGCAUAUCAAUAAGCGGAGGA
rnacentral:misc_RNA from 1 species